rnacentral:rRNA from 1 species
AUUAAAAAGUUAAUUGUGAGAUUCAGUUUAAUUUGAAUUUAAAAAUUUAUUUUUGUGGUUUUAAUUAAAAUAUUAUUUUGUUUUAUUAAUUUUAAUUGAAUAAAUUUGUUUAAUUAUAGUUUAUUAGUAUAGUGAUAGAAUGUUUAUUUUUAUUAAAUUUUUAAAAGAAGAAUUAAUUUUUUGUACCUUGUGUAUCAGGGUUUAUUUAUUAAUAGUUAAUUAGUUUAAUUUUCUCGAAAAUAAAAGAUUUAAUUAAUUAUAAAUUUUAUUGUAGAAUAAAUAUUUAAAAUAAUUAUUUUGUAAUGAAACGUUAUUCGUUUUUAUUUAUAUCUAGUUUCUUAAGAAAUGUAUUUAAUACAGAAUUUAAUUAAAAAUGUUUUUACUGGUGAAUUUAUUUUUUAUUAAAUUUUUAUACUUUUGGGGAUGAGCUUAAAAGUAAAUAUUUAUAAGUUAAUUGUUUUUGAAUAUUAAAUAGAAUUAGAAAUUUUUAUUUUUAGUAGUUUGUUAUAAUUAUGUUUUCUAUAUUUGAUUAUUUAUAUUAAUUUUAAAUUUUAUAUUAAGAAAAUUAAUUUAAUUGUAAAUUUUAUGUUAUAAUGAUAAAAUUAGUAUUAUUUAAUUUAUAUAUAAUUUGGUUUUAUUAGGUUAUAUAAAGGAAUUCGGCAAAUAUUUUUUCACCUGUUUACUAAAAACAUGGCCUUUUGAGAAUAAUUUAAGGUCUAACCUGCCCAAUGAGGAUAUUCAAUGGCUGCAGUAUUUUGACUGUACAAAGGUAGCAUAAUCAUUAGUUUCUUAAUUAGAAGCUCGUAUGAAUGGUUUAAUGAGAAAAAUACUGUCUUUAUUUAAAUUUUAAAAGAAUUUUAUUUUUAAGUUAAAAAGCUUAAAUUAUUUUAAAAGACGAGAAGACCCUAUAGAGUUUAAUAUUUACUAUAAUUUUUAUUUUUAGGAAUUUAAAGUUAAUUUAUUUUAGUAUUUAUUUUGUUGGGGUGAUGUAAAAAUUUAAUAAACUUUUUAUUAAUAUAAAUACUUAUUUGUAAUUAUUUGAUCCGUUUAUUACGAUUAUAAGAUUAAAUUACCUUAGGGAUAACAGCGUAAUUUUUUUGGAAAGUUCUUAUUGAUAAAAAAGUUUGCGACCUCGAUGUUGGAUUAAAAUUAACUAUUGGCGCAGUAGCUGAUGGGUUGGGUCUGUUCGACCUUUAAAAUUUUACAUGAUCUGAGUUUAAACCGGUGUGAGCCAGGUUGGUUUCUAUCUUUAAAAGAUUAAGAUAUUUUAGUACGAAAGGACCAAAUAUUUAUAAUAAUUAUUUUAGUUGAAUAAAUUUGUUACUUUGGCAGAUUAGUGCUUUAAAUUUAGAAUUUAAAUAUGUAUAUUUUAUACAGG